GUCGGGAUGGCCGAGCGGUCUAAGGUGGUGGCAGUCUACAUUUGUACGCGUGGGUUCAUAUCCCACCUCCGACA
rfam:Strongylocentrotus purpuratus Contig109218_fixed, whole genome shotgun sequence.